rnacentral:rRNA from 1 species
AGUGAACGCUGGCGGUAGGCCUAACACAUGCAAGUCGAACGGCAGCACAGUAAGAGCUUGCUCUUACGGGUGGCGAGUGGCGGACGGGUGAGGAAUACAUCGGAAUCUACUUUUUCGUGGGGGAUAACGUAGGGAAACUUACGCUAAUACCGCAUACGACCUACGGGUGAAAGCAGGGGAUCUUCGGACCUUGCGCGAUUGAAUGAGCCGAUGUCGGAUUAGCUAGUUGGCGGGGUAAAGGCCCACCAAGGCGACGAUCCGUAGCUGGUCUGAGAGGAUGAUCAGCGACACUGGAACUGAGACACGGUCCAGACUCCUACGGGAGGCAGCAGUGGGGAAUAUUGGGCAAUAGGCGCGAGCCUGAUCCAGCCAUACCGCGUGGGUGAAAAAGGCCUUCGGGUUGUAAAGCCCUUUUGUUGGGAAAGAAAAGCAGCAGGUUAAUACCCCGCUGUUCUGACGGUACCCAAAGAAUAAGCACCGGCUAACUUCGUG